rnacentral:rRNA from 1 species
GACGAACGCUGGCGGCGUGCUUAACACAUGCAAGUCGAACGCUGAAGCUCAGCUUUUGUUGGGUGGAUGAGUGGCGAACGGGUGAGUAACACGUGAGUAACCUGCCCCCUUCUUUGGGAUAACGCCCGGAAACGGGUGCUAAUACUGGAUAUUCACUGGUCUUCGCAUGGGGGUUGGUGGAAAGGGUUUUUCUGGUGGGGGAUGGGCUCGCGGCCUAUCAGCUUGUUGGUGGGGUGAUGGCCUACCAAGGCUUUGACGGGUAGCCGGCCUGAGAGGGUGACCGGUCACAUUGGGACUGAGAUACGGCCCAGACUCCUACAGGAGGCAGCAGUGGGGAAUAUUGCACAAUGGGCGCAAGCCUGAUGCAGCGACGCCGCGUGAGGGAUGGAGGCCUUCGGGUUGUGAACCUCUUUCGCUCAUGGUCAAGCCGCAACAAUGGUUGUGGUGAGGGUAGUGGGUAAAGAAGCGCCGGCUAACUACGUG